rnacentral:rRNA from 1 species
UACAGAGGUCUCGAGCGUUGUUCGGAUUCAUUGGGCGUAAAGGGUGCGUAGGUGGCGAGGUAAGUCGGAUGUGAAAUCCCGGGGCUCAACCCUGGAACUGCAUUCGAUACUGCCCUGCUAGAGUACUGGAGAGGAGAUUGGAAUUUACGGUGUAGCAGUGAAAUGCGUAGAUAUCGUAAGGAAGACCAGUGGCGAAGGCGGAUCUCUGGACAGUUACUGACACUGAGGCACGAAGGCCAGGGGAGCAAACGGG